rnacentral:ribozyme from 1 species
AACGACAUAAAACAGGCAUGUAGCUGAUGACUGUGUGAACUCACUUGUGUGUUGCUACUGCGAUCUUUUUCUUGCUUUUUUUUCUUGCUUUUUUUUCUUCUUCUUUCCUC